rnacentral:rRNA from 1 species
GGGGUGUGACUGCGUACCUUUUGUAUAAUGGGUCAGCGACUUAUAUUCUGUAGCAAGGUUAACCGAAUAGGGGAGCCGGAGGGAAACCGAGUCUUAAUUGGGCGUUAAGUUGCAGGGUAUAGACCCGAAACCCGGUGAUCUAGCCAUGGGCAGGUUGAAGGUUGGGUAACACUAACUGGAGGACCGAACCGACUAAUGUUGAAAAAUUAGCGGAUGACCUGUGGCUGGGGGUGAAAGGCCAAUCAAACCGGGAGAUAGCUGGUUCUCCCCGAAAGCUAUUUAGGUAGCGCCUCGUGAAUUCAUCUCCGGGGGUAGAGCACUGUUUCGGCUAGGGGGCCAUCCCGGCUUACCAACCCGAUGCAAACUGCGAAUACCGGAGAAUGUUAUCACGGGAGACACACGGCGGGUGCUAACGUCCGUCGUGAAGAGGGAAACAACCCAGACCGCCAGCUAAGGUCCCAAAGUCAUGGUUAAGUGGGAAACGAUGUGGGAAGGCCCAGACAGCCAGGAUGUUGGCUUAGAAGCAGCCAUCAUUUAAAGAAAGCGUAAUAGCUCACUGGUCGAGUCGGCCUGCGCGGAAGAUGUAACGGGGCUAAACCAUGCACCGAAGCUGCGGCAGCGACGCUGAUGCGUUGUUGGGUAGGGGAGCGUUCUGUAAGCCUGCGAAGGUGUGUCGUGAGGCAUGCUGGAGGUAUCAGAAGUGCGAAUGCUGACAUAAGUAACGAUAAAGCGGGUGAAAAGCCCGCUCGCCGGAAGACCAAGGGUUCCUGUCCAACGUUAAUCGGGGCAGGGUGAGUCGACCCCUAAGGCGAGGCCGAAAGGCGUAGUCGAUGGGAAACGGGUUAAUAUUCCCGUACUUGGUGUUACUGCGAAGGGGGGACGGAGAAGGCUAUGUUGGCCGGGCGACGGUUGUCCCGGUUUAAGCGUGUAGGUGUGUGUUCCAGGUAAAUCCGGUUCACUUUAACACUGAGGCGUGAUGACGAGGCACUACGGUGCUGAAGCAACAAAUGCCCUGCUUCCAGGAAAAGCCUCUAAGCAUCAGGUAACAUCAAAUCGUACCCCAAACCGACACAGGUGGUCAGGUAGAGAAUACCAAGGCGCUUGAGAGAACUCGGGUGAAGGAACUAGGCAAAAUGGUGCCGUAACUUCGGGAGAAGGCACGCUGACACGUAGGUGAAGUGAUUUACUCAUGGAGCUGAAGUCAGUCGAAGAUACCAGCUGGCUGCAACUGUUUAUUAAAAACACAGCACUGUGCAAACACGAAAGUGGACGUAUACGGUGUGACGCCUGCCCGGUGCCGGAAGGUUAAUUGAUGGGGUCAGCGCAAGCGAAGCUCCUGAUCGAAGCCCCGGUAAACGGCGGCCGUAACUAUAACGGUCCUAAGGUAGCGAAAUUCCUUGUCGGGUAAGUUCCGACCUGCACGAAUGGCGUAAUGAUGGCCAGGCUGUCUCCACCCGAGACUCAGUGAAAUUGAACUCGCUGUGAAGAUGCAGUGUACCCGCGGCAAGACGGAAAGACCCCGUGAACCUUUACUAUAGCUUGACACUGAACAUUGAGCCUUGAUGUGUAGGAUAGGUGGGAGGCUUUGAAGUGUGGACGCCAGUCUGCAUGGAGCCGGCCUUGAAAUACCACCCUUUAAUGUUUGAUGUUCUAACGUGGACCCGUGAUCCGGGUUGCGGACAGUGUCUGGUGGGUAGUUUGACUGGGGCGGUCUCCUCCUAAAGAGUAACGGAGGAGCACGAAGGUUGGCUAAUCCUGGUCGGACAUCAGGAGGUUAGUGCAAUGGCAUAAGCCAGCUUGACUGCGAGCGUGACGGCGCGAGCAGGUGCGAAAGCAGGUCAUAGUGAUCCGGUGGUUCUGAAUGGAAGGGCCAUCGCUCAACGGAUAAAAGGUACUCCGGGGAUAACAGGCUGAUACCGCCCAAGAGUUCAUAUCGACGGCGGUGUUUGGCACCUCGAUGUCGGCUCAUCACAUCCUGGGGCUGAAGUAGGUCCCAAGGGUAUGGCUGUUCGCCAUUUAAAGUGGUACGCGAGCUGGGUUUAGAACGUCGUGAGACAGUUCGGUCCCUAUCUGCCGUGGGCGCUGGAGAACUGAGGGGGGCUGCUCCUAGUACGAGAGGACCGGAGUGGACGCAUCACUGGUGUUCGGGUUGUCAUGCCAAUGGCACUGCCCGGUAGCUAAAUGCGGAAGAGAUAAGUGCUGAAAGCAUCUAAGCACGAAACUUGCCCCGAGAUGAGUUCUCCCUGAGACUUAGAGUCUCCUGAAGGAACGUUGAAGACGACGACGUUGAUAGGCCGGGUGUGUAAGCGCAGCGAUGCGUUGAGCUAACCGGUACUAAUGAACCGUGAGGCUUAACCUUACAACGCCGAA